rfam:Thalassolituus oleivorans MIL-1 complete genome
AGCUCCCUGGGGUGUUGGCCAGUCGAUAAAGACCUCGAGCCGAUGCGUACUACCCUGGAGGGUUCUGCUCGCUGUUGUUGCGCAUGUCCGGUUUCCGGAAAGCCUUAUUCAGUGUCGAACCCGCCACCUUGAACCUCUGGGUUCAAGGCCUUUUUAGACAGCGGCACAGUGGGGAGCUC